rnacentral:rRNA from 1 species
UACAGAGGUCUCAAGCGUUGUUCGCAUUCAUUGGGCGUAAAGGGUGCGUAGGUGGGCAGGUAAGUCAGUGGUGAAAUCUCCGGGCUUAACUCGGAAACUGCCAUUGAUACUAUCUGCCUUGAAUACCGUGGAGGUCAGCGGAAUAUGUCAUGUAGCGGUGAAAUGCUUAGAUAUGACAUAGAACACCAAUUGCGAAGGCAGCUGGCUACACGAAUAUUGACACUGAUGCACGAAAGCGUGGGGAUCAAACAGG